GCCGGGCGUGGUGGCGGGCGCCUGUAAUCCCAGCUACUCGGGAGGCUGAGGCAGGAGAAUUGCUUGAACCCAGGAGGCGGAGGUUGUAGUGAGCCGAGAUUGCAUCACUGCACACUCCAGCCUGGGUGACAGAGCAAAACUCCGUCUCAA
rfam:Homo sapiens chromosome 19 genomic contig, GRCh38 reference assembly alternate locus group ALT_REF_LOCI_5.